GAGUCCUGUUCAGCGUGGGAGGAAAUAACACAAGAGGCAAAGAUCACUCGGGACCACCUUGUAUAUUGGCUACCACAGAACCCAACACAAGCAGUAAGUUAAAAUCAUGAAGCUCCUGACGUCAGAGGACAUGGCUCUGCCAUUUGUUAGGUAGGGAUCCUGUUAAAGGCUCAGCUUCCUCAUCUGGAAAUGGAAAUAUAGGCCUUGCCUGGUUUGCUGUAAUGGGUCGUGAUGAGGACCAAACUACAAAGAGUGGUACAGAUGUUAAUUACAAUGAUUUUUCCUAUGCCACCCAUGGAAACAAAAAUAGCAAGAUAGAGAAGGCUAAAUCCCAGUUUUUUUUGACUGCUAUUCAGCAAAGCCUAGGAGACUUUCAUGACACCUGGAGAGGCGGCCGUAGUGUAUGUGUAAGAGUACCGGUUCCAGAGUGGGGCUCCCCGAGCUCAGCCCCACCACUUACCAACAGCGGACCUUGGGCCAGAUGCUGAAGCCCUUUGUGCCUUGGUUUCCUGACCUAUUACUGUGGAAAUGAUGACAGUACCCUCCUCAUGGCAUCGUGAGAAUUAAAUUAGCUAAUUCAGGUGAAGCAUUUAGAAGAGGACCUCCUGACACUUAAUAACUGCUUGAUAUAAAUAAUAGCUUCUGCUACAGAGUGGCCAUGAAGUCUGGACAUGUAGAUAUUAUAUUAUCAUGCAUCAUAAGCCGUUCUUUCCCAAGUUACCUCUCUCAGAUUCCUGCAGAAAAGCCUGAGUGCCAGCCUCCAGCUCUGGAUAAGAUUCUCCAAGAGUGGUUCUCAAUCUUGCAGAAACUCAGAAUCUCCUAGGAGCUCAAAACAACACCACCAACAACAACAACACCUCUUCUCCAAGCCGCAGACUCAGGAAAUGUGAUUCAUUCAAUCUGCCUGGGGUGGUCUAGGCAUAGUACUUUCUUUACCUUCUAUCGCAUUAGGGCCUGGGUCUGAAGAGUAACACAAGCAAUAGCUCUGCCUAAAACCUAUCUUGGAUUUUGUACAAGAAAGUUGUGAAGAAGUAAGAGUGACUGGUGUUAAAUGAUCAUCUCAUAGGAAUUACUACAGAAUUUGACCAUCAGCCUGGGCUCCUUUUUGUGCUUCCUGGGACCAUCUAAAUUAGUAGUUACAACGUUAAGUUACAAUGCUAAAUUGGAAAAAUAAAAGGAGUUUUCAGUU
ensembl:lncRNA LINC01968 long intergenic non-protein coding RNA 1968